rnacentral:rRNA from 1 species
AGUGAACGCGGCGGCGUGCCUAAUACAUGCAAGUCGAACGGAAUUUAAAAGAGCUUGCUCUUUUAAAUUUAGUGGCGCACGGGUGAGUAAUAUAUAGCUAAUCUGCCCCUUGCUGGAGGACAACAGUUAGAAAUGACUGCUAAUACUCCAUACUCCUUUUUACCAUAAGAUAAAUCGGGAAAGAAUUUCGGCAAGGGAUGAGACUAUAUCGUAUCAGCUAGUCGGUGGGGUAACGGCCUACCGAGGCUAUGACGCGUAACUGGUCUGAGAGGAUGAUCAGUCACAUUGGAACUGAGACACGGUCCAAACUCCUACGGGAGGCAGCAGUAGGGAAUAUUGCGCAAUGGGGGAAACCCUGACGCAGCAACGCCGCGUGGAGGAUGACACUUUUCGGAGCGUAAAACUCCUUUGUAGGGAAGGAUAAAGGCGGUCCUACGA